GAAAUGCGAUAAGUAAUGUGAAUUGCAGAAUUCAGUGAAUCAUCGAAUCUUUGAACGCAUCUUGCGCUCCUUGGUAUUCCGAGGAGCAUGCCUGUUUGAGUGUCAUUAAAUUCUCAACCUUUACCAGCUUUGUUGUUUGGUCUAGGCUUGGAUGUGGAGGUUUUUGCAGGCCAWUUGAAAGGUCAGCUCCUCUGAAAUACAUUAGCGGUACCCCUUCGUGGUUAAAUGACUAUUGGUGUGAUAAACUAUCUACGCUUAUGGGCAACCACGUUCACUUGAAUGUGAAGAGGGAUUUGGCUGCUUCUAACCGUCUUUUAAAAGACAAUAGAAUAUAAAUGACUAUUUGACCUCAAAUCAGGUAGGACUACCCGCUGAACUUAA
rnacentral:rRNA from 1 species